rnacentral:rRNA from 1 species
GACGAACGCUGGCGGCGUGCUUAACACAUGCAAGUCGAACGGAAAGGCCCUGCUUUUGUGGGGUGCUCGAGUGGCGAACGGGUGAGUAACACGUGAGUAACCUGCCCUUGACUUUGGGAUAACUUCAGGAAACUGGGGCUAAUACCGGAUAGGAGCUCCUGCUGCAUGGUGGGGGUUGGAAAGUUUCGGCGGUUGGGGAUGGACUCGCGGCUUAUCAGCUUGUUGGUGGGGUAGUGGCUUACCAAGGCUUUGACGGGUAGCCGGCCUGAGAGGGUGACCGGCCACAUUGGGACUGAGAUACGGCCCAGACUGCUACGGGAGGCAGCAGUGGGGAAUAUUGCACAAUGGGCGGAAGCCUGAUGAAGCAGCGCCGCGUGCGGGAUGACGGCCUUCGGGUUGUAAACCGCUUUCGCCUGUGACGAAGCGUGUGUGACGGUAAUGGGUAAAGAAGCACCGGCUAACUACGUG